rnacentral:rRNA from 1 species
UACAGAGACUGCAAGCGUUAUUCGGAUUCACUGGGCGUAAAGGGUGCGCAGGCGGUCGGGUGUGUCAGAUGUGAAAUCCCGAGGCUCAACCUCGGAACUGCGUCUGAAACUAUUCGACUAGAGUACUGGAGAGGGUAACGGAAUUCACGGUGUAGCAGUGAAAUGCGUAGAUAUCGUGAGGAACACCAGAGGCGAAGGCGGUUACGUGGACAGUUACUGACGCUCAGGCACGAAAGCAUGGGGAGCAAAAGGG